UACAGAGGUCUCAAGCGUUGUUCGGAUUCAUUGGGCGUAAAGGGCGCGUAGGCGGCGCGGCAAGUCGGGUGUGAAAUCUCGGAGCUUAACUCCGAAACUGCAUUCGAUACUGCCGUGCUUGAGGACUGGAGAGGAGACUGGAAUUUACGGUGUAGCGGUGAAAUGCGUAGAUAUCGUAAGGAAGACCAGUGGCGAAGGCGGGUCUCUGGACAGUUCCUGACGCUGAGGCACGAAGGUCAGGGGAGCAAACGGG
rnacentral:rRNA from 1 species